GAAACAUCGAGUUACUGUACGAUCACAGAAGUUAAGCAACGUCGAGCCUAGUCAGUACCUAGAUGGGUGACAGCUUGGGAAUACUAGGUGCU